UCCUGGGGAGCUAAGGCUUACACAGAUGGAAUGAUUACAGGAUGGCACUGGGGCAUAUAAUGCAGGUACCCAAUAUGAUAAAGAGAGACUAGGCUGGUGGGAGGUUGCAUGGCGGCUGGUAUUGCCCUGAAAGGACCCCUUUCUUGGUUGCUCAGCGUUGUCUCAGCAGCUCCACGGUGGAGACAUAGUUCAGUAGUUAGCAUCCGUGCGAUGUAAUACGUGAAUUUAUAUGGUUCCUGCAAUAUAAACUGAGGAUUGUAUUGAUAGAGUCUCCAUUUAGUGGUAGCUGGAGUUGAUCAAACAUUUACACGUGCCAGGCAUUGGGCCAAACACCUUGUGCAUUCACUGCAUUGAAUCUUGACCAGAAACUGUGUAUGUGUGUCUGUGUCCCUGUGUCCAGGGGAGUGAUGAGGAGAUACUUGCUAGAGAGGAAGUUUUUACUGUCUCCUUUUAACAGAGGAUGGAAUCUGGGUAUCAGAUUUCUAAUAUCCAGAAUUGUAUGACUGACUAAUACAUGUGAAAACAGGAUUUAGAUCCAGGUCUGCCAGCGUGAAAUCUUAAUACACUCAACGCCUACACAGUAUUGAAAUGUAAUCACAUUUUAAUCCUUUGAUGAGUUGGUUCCACAUCUGUGGAGCGAGGAUAACAGCCCUCUGUGAGUGGCCCAUAGUUCAAGUUUAAGAAACAUUCCCUGGGCAUAGAAGUCCCAGGAUGGUACUUUGUGGUGUUGGGUUGGGAAGCUUUCGGGGGCACUUACAAAGUGGUUAUGUGCUCCAGGCCCCUCCCUUCCAUUGGAGCAGCUCUGUUUCUCUGUUCCUACAUUUUGGCAUUCAGCAUCCUGUUGCUUAAAAUGGUUUGAAAGCCAGUAACGUCGACUAUCACAUUACCCCUUUCCUUGACUGUACCAGGUAGCAGAAUUAACUGAUCGUGAUUGAGUACUUUUAAUAACCUGGAGUUGUUUUUCACCUCUGAGCUCCUGAGUGGAAACUAUUGGAGUAUCUGGGAUCUUGGAGCUGAAAAAGAAGCAGCCAGAUGUGCUAGUGACUUGGGUGUUUCCAGGUCCUUGAGAAAUAAUGUGCUUUGAACCCUGUGUCUGGCAAAAUUAGUUUUGCUGGAUCAUCCAGCUGGGACCUGGAGAUGUUGAGUUGUCCUCUCAUUUGGGGUUCAUGCCGAGCAUUCUCAGAGCAGCCUCUUGUGGUGUGCUAGCAGGCCUUUGCAGACCAAGGGUAAGCACGGGUCCCUCUCAGCCUGGAGCUGGUCCAUGGAGGGAGAUCAGAAUGUUCAGUGCAGUCACCUGGGGCCCUUGGAAAUAUUCCUGCUGUUGCAAGGCAGGUAGGAGCAAGUCCCUUUGGGACCAAAUAAACAGGAACUGGAUUUGAAAGUAUGGCUGGAUGCCUCGGGCAUUGGGUGACGAGGAAGGGCUGGUGGCCCUGGGUUGGAUCUAUCUAAUAUGGCCCUAGGGUGACCAGCCAUCCCCGUCUGCCUGGGACUCUCCAAGAUUUAGUGCUGAAAGUUCUGUGUCAGUCCUGGGUAAGCCAGGGAGACUGACUACCCUGCAUGGCCCUGGAGCCCAGGCUUCCAUCACUGCUUGGCUAGACUCUCUUGAAGACUCCUCAGCUGCCUUCCUGGCUCUACAGUUGCUCAUCUUCAGUGCUACUGGAGCCCAUCUGGAACUGCCAGUCUGACCUUCUGCUUAAAAACCAAAGUCCUGGGCACUGGCAUUUGCUGUGUGCUUGUAGCCAUGUCAUGGGAGCCCUGUGUUGGACCUGCCAGGAGCUUCCACACCCCUCUGUGUGUCCCCUUUCCUCUCCCUGGCAACUUCAUCCCCAUCCACUAAGCCCUGGCUGCCUUGUGUUGCCUCUUGAGAAGCCUUCCUUGUCGGAGCAGAAGUAUCAUUCCUUCUGUAUCACUGCUGUCGUGUACUUGUCGCGGUGCAUCUAACUGUUCCCACCCCCUUGUCCGGGCGGGGACUCAGCUGCAUACAGCACCAGGCAGCCAAGAAGCUUCUGGUGACUGUCUCCAGUGCUUAGUGUUGAAAUAACUAAUAGCAGAAUGGGGAAUAUUUUGUUGGCAGGUCCUAGAAUAGAUUCAGUGUUUGAUGCUCAAAAUUGUGAUUUUUAAAACAUUUUUCAAGUAGUGGAGCCCACUCCCAACUUUAAACAGAAUGGAAUCUUUUAUAUUGAGUGCCAUAUGUAAGACAAUUAAGAGUAGGGAAAAGAAACGGAAUUGGAAGUGAGGGUGUGGGAGGCGAGACUAUGCCGUCUUCGUGGAUCCCCAGAACUCUGGGCAUGCUGUGUCAAAGCUGCUUGUUUAAAAGCUUCUGGGGCUUAUGGUUCUGAAGAAGUCCAUUUAAUCAGCUGAAGGGGCCCCGGGGUGAGGGGCUGGGCUCUGGCUCCAGCCUUAACCAGGCCGGGCUCUGCCACCUCUGAACAGAGUUACCUUCGAUUAAAGGGCACCGCUGUAUUUUGUUUUGUAUUUUGUUAAAAAUACGAAACCAAGCCAGACCUGUCCUCAAUUCACUCUUGGUGCCCUGGUUGGCACGCGGCUCCGAGCUCCUGAUGGGAGGAACAGCUGGCGAUCUAUUUUAAUUAGUGGCAAGUACCAAGUGAUUGAAAAUAGACUGUUAGAAAACUCAGCCGGCCUCACCCCUCAUGCCUGACAAAUGGUGGGGACGCUGUCCGUGUGGGAUUUGAAGAGGGCUGGCGCUGAGGCCUGCUCAGACGCGUGCCUGAUGUCCCAUUGACUGGGCUGAUGGUGACUGUCGUGUUCAGGCAGUGACAUAGGUUUUAGUCCUCUUCAGCCUUGCCCUGGGACAGGGGACGUUCUUAAUUAGGAAGACUUUCAUCAGAAGGGGCUUGGGGAGUGUCUGGCGCCAUGACAGCUCCGAGUCUAACCAUAAAAGGGCAAAGAGUGGGCGGUGGCCCGGUUCCUGGGAAUCCCAGCCCCUUCCCCAGGGCAGUUGGAAUGGCCCUUCCACUUGUUGGGAUGUGAAGCUACCGAGCCCAUAAAAACUGGCAGCACUGCGCCUCUUGGCACUCUCGCUCCCUCCUCUUAGGAGACGGCCCACGCUCUGUCUAUAGAGUGCGUAUCCACUUUUACUUUAACCUGAGCACUCAACCCCCACACCUCGUGGCCUUUCUCUGGACUUCUGAAACAGCCUGCGCUCUAGGUAGUAUGUAUCUCUCUAAAUAAAUCUAUCUUUACUCAACUGUGGCUCCCUCUU